UCGAACGAUGAACCACUUCGGUGGGGAUUAGUGGCGAACGGGUGAGUAACACGUGGGCAAUCUGCCCUUCACUCUGGGACAAGCCCUGGAAACGGGGUCUAAUACCGGAUAACACUGCGGAUCGCAUGGUCUGCGGUUAAAAGCUCCGGCGGUGAAGGAUGAGCCCGCGGCCUAUCAGCUUGUUGGUGAGGUAAUGGCUCACCAAGGCGACGACGGGUAGCCGGCCUGAGAGGGCGACCGGCCACACUGGGACUGAGACACGGCCCAGACUCCUACGGGAGGCAGCAGUGGGGAAUAUUGCACAAUGGGCGAAAGCCUGAUGCAGCGACGCCGCGUGAGGGAUGACGGCCUUCGGGUUGUAAACCUCUUUCAGCAGGGAAGAAGCGAAAGUGACGGUACCUGCAGAAGAAGCGCCGGCUAACUACGUGCCAGCAGCCGCGGUAAUACGUAGGGCGCAAGCGUUGUCCGGAAUUAUUGGGCGUAAAGAGCUCGUAGGCGGCUUGUCACGUCGAUUGUGAAAGCCCGAGGCUUAACCUCGGGUCUGCAGUCGAUACGGGCUAGCUAGAGUGUGGUAGGGGAGAUCGGAAUUCCUGGUGUAGCGGUGAAAUGCGCAGAUAUCAGGAGGAACACCGGUGGCGAAGGCGGAUCUCUGGGCCAUUACUGACGCUGAGGAGCG
rnacentral:rRNA from 1 species